GACGAACGCUGGCGGCGUGCUUAAUACAUGCAAGUAGAACGGAGUGGCGAACGGGUGAGUAACACGUGGGUGACCUGCCCUGCACUUCGGGAUAAGCCUGGGAAACUGGGUCUAAUACCGGAUAGUGUGGGAUGGGGCCGCGGCCAACCAGCGUGUUGGUGGGGUAAUGGUCUACCAAGGCGGCGACGGGUAGCCGGACUGAGAGGGUGGACGGACACAUUGGGGUAGAGACGCCGCCCGGACUGCUACGUGAGGCAGCAGUGGGGGAGAGUGCGAGAUGGGCGGAAGCAUGAUGCAGGGUCGCCGCGUGGGAGAUGACGGCCGUCGGAUUGUAAACUCCUUUCGCCAGCGACGCGGUAGAUGGAGAGGAAGCGCCGGCUAACUACGUGCCAGCAGCCGCGGUAAUAC
rnacentral:rRNA from 1 species